rnacentral:hammerhead_ribozyme from 1 species
AUCCGUCUGACAAGUCCCAAAUAGGAUGAAACGCGCGUCCUGAAU